UUCUGGUCUUUCUUUCUUUUCCAUAUAUCUUUUGGUUUUCAAUUCUAGUGAUUAUAUUUCAUAAUCUUAGAUGUAUUUUGUCACAACUUCAAGCCUGACAUUAAUUUUUUUAUUGUAUUUGAUCGGCAAACCCGGAAUUACCCUUAUCCGUCCCGGAAACUGAUCCGGUAUUGUAAUUAUCUUCAUUUCCGGUUUAUAUAUGGCAUCCAUUGUUUUUCUAUGUUGAUGUUGUCAGUCAGAUACGAUUUCACUCGGAUUUACAAAUUACUUUUUAACGAUUUUCGGUAUAAAAUUAGCGGUUGGAUAAAAUGAAUAUUGCUGUCAUGAAUAAUAAAGAUGAGAAUUUAUUUUGAGAUCGUUUAUUUGGAAAUUUUGAUAAAAAGGUCUGCGAAGUUAUUUUUUAUUUUCUUUCAAAUCGAAGGUCCGUCGGGCGUAGCUAGUAACCAAAACGAAGGUCCGCUUGCAAAAGUGGAAGGUCGCGGACCUCGGACCACCGCUAAUUUGAACCCCUGCCAAACCAAGAAUUU
rnacentral:lncRNA from 1 species